UACGUAGGGGGCAAGCGUUGUCCGGAAUCAUUGGGCGUAAAGAGCGUGUAGGCGGACUUAAAGGUCUGGUGUGAAAGCCCGGGGCUCAACCCCGGAGGGUCACUGGAAACCAUAAGUCUUGAAUCUGGAAGAGGAGAGUGGAAUUCCUGGUGUAGCGGUGGAAUGCGCAGAUAUCAGGAGGAACACCAAUGGCGAAGGCAGCUCUCUGGUACAUGAUUGACGCUGAGACGCGAAAGCGUGGGGAGCGAACAGGAUUAGAUACCCUGGUAGUCCACGCCGUAAACGAUGGGUGCUAGGUGUGGGAGGUGUCGACUCCUUCCGUGCCGAAGCUAACGCAUUAAGCACCCCGCCUGGGGAGUACGGCCGCAAGGCUAAA
rnacentral:rRNA from 1 species